rnacentral:rRNA from 1 species
AGCGAACGCUGGCGGCAGGCCUAACACAUGCAAGUCGAACGAACCUUUCGGGGUUAGUGGCGGACGGGUGAGUAACACGUGGGAACGUGCCUUUAGGUUCGGAAUAACUCAGGGAAACUUGUGCUAAUACCGAAUGUGCCCUUCGGGGGAAAGAUUAAUCGCCUUUAGAGCGGCCCGCGUCUGAUUAGCUAGUUGGGUGAGGUAAUGGCUCACCAAGGCGACGAGCAGUAGCGGGUCUGAGAGGAUGAUCAGCCACAUUGGGACUGAGACACGGCCCAAACUCCUACGGGAGGCAGCAGUGGGUAAUCUUGCGCAAUGGGCGAAAGCCUGACGCAGCCAUGCCGCGUGAAUGAUGAAGGUCUUAGGAUUGUAAAAUUCUUUCACCGGGGACGAUAAUGACGGUACCCGGAGAAGAAGCCCCGGCUAACUUCGUG